CUGUAGAAGGUCACCCAGAGAGUGGACGGACGGAACCAAUAUUAUUAUUCAAUUAACGUAAAUAAGUCGGAUGCUUGAGAAACUUUUAUUGGUCGUAAAUCUGAUUGAAACAAUGACAUUAUUUUUUUGUCAAAUUAGUCAAUCAAUGAACGGGGUUUACCGCAAUUAAUAAAGUGAAAUGGACGUAUGGAAAAAUACUACAGGCUUUUUUGUUUUGAGUAUUUGCGUAGGCACUCGGUGUCAUUGAUAAUAAAGAUGGGCGUGUUCUUCGUCUUCCUCGCCCUGGGCUGCUGUUGGGGGGCUGUUCCGGAAGUGGGAGCAGCAGUUGACCCAGAGGGGAAUAAGAAUCCUUCGUCGGCUCACGAUGAAAUUAGCGUCUCGUAUUCUAUUCCCACAGUAGAAGAACAUAUUCGAAGCUUAAACAUCGUGGUGGACAUGACAUCCUUUAAGAAUUGUGACAUUUCAGAAUGUUCCAACGUCUGCGGGACAAAGGAUUCAAAGAAAGCGUAUUGUGACCCGUACAAUAAAAAGCUGUGCAUGUGCGAUCCACAAAACUUCCACCCCAGUGACAUGGUGGGGACAAUUGACGCCGUGAAUAGGGAAAUCCCCCCUCAAAAGAAUUGUUCCGUGGCGUGCAACAAGAGAAAUUCAUAUGGUCGGAUCUGGAUGAAGGAAGAAAAAUCUUUGUGGUCCUGCCUUUGCCUUCUGCGUCAGCUCACCCCAACGGGAAUUACACUCUGCGACCCACUCGCCAAGCCCAAGAUGGAAGUUUGUCGUGCUGUUUGCCAAACGGACACGGCCUCGUGUUCAUUCAAUGGGGCCUGCGUCUGUCGCAAAACUUGGGAUAUUUUUUUCAACAUGUCCGUCUCAAAUGUUCGGAAAGAGAUUCCGCAAGACCAGUCGGAAUGUUCCACCAUCUGCACGAGCUAUCAUCACGACUACGUGGGUCGCAUCUACGACUCGAAGAUGGGGGCUAUGGAAAACGGUACGGGGUACGCGUUACGGGAAAAGUACUGCGUGUGUGGAGACUGGCUGGACAUUGCCAAGCUCCCACAAACGACGGCCCUUCUCAACCAGGGCUUCCAGUUAUGCACAGGCCUGAAGUGUAAACAGCGGUGUGGGAUGGACGAGGCCGUGUGCGAGCCCCACUUCCGCAGGGGAUGUCUCUGCCCAAGGGAGAAUAUCAUCAUUGGAAAACAUUUGUGGGCCAGACUGCCCACGCCGAAGGAGACCAAGUGCUACGAGACGUGCUCUGCCUUUGGGUUCGACGCACGCGUAAUAGAAUGGAACCCAUUCCUGGUUCCACAAGAUCUCAAAUUUGAGCCUCACUACCCAAAUCGACAUGCACCAAUAUCGUCCCUGUACUGACGAGUUAUGUCGUCUCAUUUGUGGCCACUACGAUGCAGAGUGCGACAAGCGCACUCGGCGGACCUGCUUUUGCAACACGCACCAACUGUCGCACGACCUGGGGCGUAAUGCCGACCCGGGCGAGGUGAACUGUGACAUCUCCUGUCGAUACGGCCUCUACGAUGCCAAAAUACUGGACAUGAAGUGGGAGGUGGGGGUUGACUCAUGGGGCGUCAAGAUCUCAAAGUACUGCAGCUGCAUCCAAACCCAAACUCCGGCCGGUCUCUCACACUGCGACCCCAUCCAGGACGAGUGCCCUAAAUACUGCGGGGGAAUCGGGAAAGCUUACUGUACCAGGGAAAAAUACUGCCACUGUGGCGUCGUUCCGUUUGGACCCAUGUCGCUGUCCCCCCUUAUCCGUCUCGGGAAUGGGAAGGAGGCGGACGAGUGUGGGGAAAAGUGUCACUCUUGGCUCUGGCCCAUGACGGAAGAUUUGGACAAUCGCCCCUUCAUCUACGACGAAGCGUUGGGAUCCUGCUCCACUGAUUCGUCGUCAUCGGAUUCGCCACCCUGUCCAAAGGUGGACACCAGUCCCUGGAGGCCUGAGAAGGCUGGGGUGAUGUCCAUCCAGUUAGACUCGCUCGAGCUGGACGUUGCUGCCCGACGGAAAUUCUGCAUAUGUGCCAAAACUAGCGAAUCCAUGUACAAACCUGGAAAUCGGUUUAUUGCUCAUCUCGAGCCAGAAAGAAUUCCAGACGACGUCCCAUGUCCGGGGAAUCACACGUGUGUCAUUGUUGGCAAAAGCUUGCACAUUACGGGAUAGUACAUAUUUUAUAUUGAUUGAUUGAGCAUAUUUUAUAUUGGGAAGUAAUAAAGUGAUGGCCAUGUCAUGAUGAAUGCUGAAUUAUCCCAUUUUCUCGAGUGUUGUGACCACCACUGCUCUCAAGAUUUCGUAUAGAAUUUUAUGAAACGACAUUUGCAUGCAGAUUUGUGUUCAAAAUAUUUAAUUUCGUGCAACCAUUCCAAGUAAUAUUCCAACUAAUAUUCACAUCUACUUCACCACACACAUUUUAUGCUAAAUACUUUUUGACGGAAAGGUUGGGAGUGCAUGAUGUCCGAUUGAUCUGAUCUACAUAUUGGAGGGCACAUUAAGGAGUCGAUGCAAAUGUUGAGACGAGAUGAUAUUUACCUCAAAAACGUCAUUACCAUCACAUUUCCCAUUUGUAUGCUACUAUGAGUAUGCACAUGCACGGUUAAAUUUCUUUGGGCGAUUGUGAGAUAAGGAAAUGAGGGCACUGAUCCUAGCUUAUUCCCAAUCAGUGCAGUGCCAGAGGACCUAUGUGACAUUUUUGUCUAAAUGUCUGGAUUCUCCAACAUAGAUUCAGAUAGGUUCAAGGAGAAAUUAUGUAAAGUCAAUGAAUAGGCAGCAUGCAAAUGCUACUGAACUUGGCUGCACCUUAUAUCGUAGAAAAGAUACCACUAAAUGCGACAGAUUCCACAGCAAAAAUUUGGUUUGCAUCAGGCAGUAUUAUUACUGCGAAUUGAACCAUUGUUCCAUCCGGGAGAACAAGCCAGCCAGGAUCGAGUCGAGCGAGGACGCCAGAGAAGGAAGUCACGACUGCCUAGCGCUGCUGCCAAUUAUCGCCAACAUUGAAACAAAGAAAUCAUGAGUUUUCCCGGAUCCACAUUUUAUUCUAUCCCACGCCUCCACGUUCCACAGCAAGGACGACCCAAUUUUCUGCAGUUAGGACCUCCUCCCCUCCGCCAGCCGAGCGUCGUAGUCGUCGGAUCACCCCAAUCGGCGACAUGUCCCAGCUUCACCACCAAGAGACCCCUCAACUUCGGCGUCAAAAGCUGCUACGCUGUCUCCGUCGACAAGCUCAGCCCCCUCAGCACGGCGGGGGCAACUCGAGUCAAAAGGAACACACAUCACGUGUCGUUCUCAGAAAUGGAAGACUUUGAGCUGAACGUUAAGGGUUAUCGGGAGUAUCGAAAACACGACUUGGUCAACAAAUUCCGGAAACUUGACAAUCAAGUCCUCGAGGAGAAAGACUGCUGGCUCGUGGAGAAAGAUGGCUACUUUUGGGGGGAUGACAGUCCUGAGACAAUUCCAGACUUUAACCCGGCCGAGGAGGACGAGUGGAUGGACGACUCUGAGUUCCAGCAGCAUGGGCGAAAACCAUUUUUGAGCAACACAAUCCUCAACGAGCAAGAAGAAGGAGGACAAAACAGCCCCCCGUCGGAGCAAGACUGGCUGAUCGCGGGAAUGGAGGUGGACAGCGGAGUUACGCCCACCGAGUGGCCCACCCCAGUCUCUUCAGCAUGGGCCUCCCCAACAACCCCAGAGGGACGCAACUAUGUUUCUGGGCGUCGCGGUCGUACUCCGGCACUCACGCCCUUGUCUGGUAUCUGCGCCGACUUGUCAUUGCUUGGAUUUCCGGAGUUUCCUACCCCUGCUCAAAUCAGGGCUGCAGCUGAAGAAUGUUGGGAUGACUAAAAACCAAGAAGGCCAUUACAUGCAUGCAAAUUAUUACUCUGAGAAAUGAAUUACUCGGAAGAAUGCAUGGACACUGGCCCAAAUUAUGUUAAUUUUUAUGUGGGUUUUAAUUUAUUUACUAUACUAUUUGGAAUAUAUGACAGUUGUGCUAUAUGGAUGAGUCGAUCGUCACGUCAGGUUAGACGAAGAAAUCAACUCCUUUUACUCUCGCCAAUGACAAUGACAAUUAUUAUUAUUUUUUAAUUACUCGACCUUUCUUUUGAUCGGCACAUUUUUAUUGCAAACUAUUAUUGAUGUACUUUAUUUCACCAGAUUGUUUUACGUAAGUCUUAUUAUUCCCAGAUUAUAAAAAUAGGAAAAGUUUUCAUUCACAAUUUUACAGUAAAAUUAACGUCUUGUACCAUGAUUAUGAUUUUUGUACUCGCUUUACUGACUAAUAUGUUUGCUUUGUAAUGAUCUUAUUGCAGAUAUACUUUUUAUUAAAUUUUAUCCAAUGUUGUUCCAAAAA